CUCUAACCCGCACCACUAAUCGUGGUGGGAGACAGUGUCAGGUGGGCAGUUUGACUGGGGCGGUCGCCUCCUAAAAAGUAACGGAGGCGCCCAAAGGUUCCCUCAGAAUGGUUGGAAAUCAUUCGCAGAGUGUAAAGGCACAAGGGAGCUUGACUGCGAGACAGACAGGUCGAGCAGGGACGAAAGUCGGGCUUAGUGAUCCGGUGGUACCGUAUGGAAGGGCCAUCGCUCAACGGAUAAAAGCUACCCUGGGGAUAACAGGCUUAUCUCCCCCAAGAGUCCACAUCGACGGGGAGGUUUGGCACCUCGAUGUCGGCUCAUCGCAUCCUGGGGCUGUAGUCGGUCCCAAGGGUUGGGCUGUUCGCCCAUUAAAGCGGUACGCGAGCUGGGUUCAGAACGUCGUGAGACAGUUCGGUCCCUAUCCGUCGCGGGCGUAGGAAAUUUGAGAGGACCUGUCCUUAGUACGAGAGGACCGGGAUGGACAUACCUCUGGUGUACCAGUUGUGCCGCCAGGCGCAUCGCUGGGUAGCUACGUAUGGAUGUGAUAAACGCUGAAAGCAUCUAAGUGUGAAACACACCUCGAGAUGAGAUUUCCCAUUCCUUUAUGGAAGUAAGACCCCUGAAAGAUGAUCAGGUAGAUAGGUUAGAAGUGGCAGUGCGGUGACGCAUGAAGCGGACUAAUACUAAUCGGUCGAGGACUUAACCAAG
rnacentral:rRNA from 1 species